rfam:Ipomoea nil DNA, scaffold: scaffold1895, cultivar: Tokyo-kokei standard.
GUGGCUGUAGUUUAGUGGUAAGAAUUCCACGUUUAGGCCGUGAAGACUUGGUCUCGAAUCCUAGUACCCACA